UGGGGAAUAUUGCACAAUGGAGGGAACUCUGAUGCAGCGAUGCCGCGUGAGGGAAGAAGGUUUAGGAUUGUAAACCUCUGUCUUCAGGGACGAAAUAAAUGACGGUACCUGAGGAGGAAGCUCCGGCUAACUACGUGCCAGCAGCCGCGGUAAUACGUAGGGAGCGAGCGUUGUCCGGAAUUACUGGGUGUAAAGGGAGCGUAGGCGGGAUUGCAAGUCAGAUGUGAAAUGUAUGGGCUUAACCCAUAAAUUGCAUUUGAAACUGUAGUUCUUGAGUGAAGUAGAGGUAAAGCGGAAUUCCUAGUGUAGCGGUGAAAAUGCGUAGAUAUUAGGAGGAAACACCAGUGGCGAAAGGCGGCUUACUGGACGGUAACUGACGUUGAGGCUCGAAAGCGUGGGGAGCAAAACAGGAUUAGAUACC
rnacentral:rRNA from 1 species